ensembl:rRNA 5S_rRNA 5S ribosomal RNA
GCUUACGGCCAUACCAGCCCAAGAACUGCCCGAUCUCGUCUGAUCUCGGAAGCUAAGAAGGCUUGGGCCUGGUUAGUACUUGGAUGGGAGACCUCCUAGGAAUACCAGGUGCUGUAAGCU